rnacentral:rRNA from 1 species
AGUGAACGCUGGCGGUAGGCCUAACACAUGCAAGUCGAACGGCAGCACAGUAAGAGCUUGCUCUUACGGGUGGCGAGUGGCGGACGGGUGAGGAAUACAUCGGAAUCUACUUUUUCGGGGGGGAUAACGUAGAGAAACUUACGCUAAUACCGCAUACGACCUACGGGUGAAAGCAGGGGAUCUUCGGACCUUGCGCGACUGAAUGAGCCGAUGUCGGAUUAGCUAGUUGGCGGGGUAAAGGCCCACCAAGGCGACGAUCCGUAGCUGGUCUGAGAGGAUGAUCAGCCACACUGGAACUGAGACACGGUCCAGACUCCUACGGGAGGCAGCAGUGGGGAAUAUUGCACAAUGGGCGCAAGCCUGAUCCAGCCAUGCCGCGUGGGUGAAGAAGGCCUUCGGGUUGUAAAGCCCUUUUGUUGGGAAAGAAAAGCAGCAGGUUAAUCCACCGCCGUUCUGACGGUACCCAAAGAAUAAGCACCGGCUAACUUCGUG